AAAAUCGAAUGUUAUACCGUAGACAGCAGGGGCUCCUUAAAGCUUAAUCAUCCUGCCGAGGUGUUUAUUUAUAGAAUGGCAAACCGUUUUGCCGGUCUAAGGUAAGCUCUCAUGUCUACAUGAGAGCUUUUUUUAUAGA
rnacentral:sRNA from 1 species